GAUGAACGCUGGCGGCGUGCCUAAUACAUGCAAGUAGAACGCUGAAGGAAGGAGCUUGCUCUUUCCGGAUGAGUUGCGAACGGGUGAGUAACGCGUAGGUAACCUGCCUGGUAGCGGGGGAUAACUAUUGGAAACGAUAGCUAAUACCGCAUAACAGUAGAUGUUGCAUGAUAUCUACUUAAAAGGUGCAAUUGCACCACUACCAGAUGGACCUGCGUUGUAUUAGCUAGUUGGUGAGGUAACGGCUCACCAAGGCGACGAUACAUAGCCGACCUGGGAGGGUGAUCGGCCCACAUGGGACUGGGACACGGCCCAAACUCCUAAGGGGGGCAGCAGUAGGGAAUCUUCGGAAAUGGACGGAAGUCUGGCCGAGAAACGCCGCGGGAGUGAAGAAGGGUGUCGGAUCGUAAAGCUCGGUUGUAAGAGAAGAACGAGUGUGAGAGUGGAAAGUUCACACUGUGACGGUAGCUUAACAGAAAGGGACGGCUAACUACGUG
rnacentral:rRNA from 1 species